CGACUCCCACGACAGAGGCACGAGGUGGCUGGUUGCCGGGCAACGAGGCAUGGCUGCUCCCUGCUCUCAUCCGGCUCCCAGAAUCUUAGAUUGAGGGCGGGAAGAACAAACUGAGUUUCACUCUUGUUGCCCAGGCUGGAGCGCAAUGGCGUGAUCAGGCUGCUCCCUGGUUAUAAAUUCUCACUUGCUCACACUGUACUUGGAGUUGACCCCAAUCUCUUCCCUACUGCAAGACCCUUUGCAGUCAUCCCUAUAUCUAUCUCGAUUGACCCCCCCCUCCGUUGAAUAAAGUCUUCCAUGCCGUCUUUAA